AGCCCACGCGGGAGCCGGCAGGAGCGGGGUGCAAACUCACCUGGCCGGAGCGGGGCACGGGGGUGCGGGGGCGCCGCUGCCCUUCAGCAGGAGCCGACAAACUUUCGCGGGCGCCCGGCGGGCAUCGCUCGGUGGCCCCGCUAAGGACGCGCGGGCGCGGCGCGGCGAGCCCGGGGCGGCGGGCGGCGGGGGGCGGCCGCGGGCGCGGGCGGCAGGGGCGCGGGGGUCGCGGCGCGGCAUGGGACCUGCGGCGUCCGCCGGGCGCGCCGCGCGUCCUCCCGCCGGCCCCGCCGCUCUCCCCGCCCCGUCCCGCCUCCCGCUCGCCUCCGCCGCGGCGCGUCGGGCCGGGGCGCGCCGAGCGGCGAGAAAUUGUUUCCACUGCAAACAAAAAAAGGCGACACAUGACCAGGCAGGAGGAGGGGAAGCGCGGGGAGGGAGGAGGGCGGAGGGAGGGACAGAGCGGAGGGCGGAGGGAGCCGGAGAAAGGGAAAACGUGGGCCUGGCCGCCAGCGGCCUGGGGCGCGGGGCACUGACCCGCCGGGGCGGACCCUGCCCGCGCCCCUCGCGCGCCCCAGCACUCAGCCAGGGCGGAGGCCGGGGCUGGGCCGCGCGGCCUCGCCUCUUGGGCCCCGCGGGGCGGGGGUGACCGGCGCGGGUCCCGCGACCCAGGGCGGCCGCGACCGUGGGCGGUGGGGCAGGUGGGUCAGGCGGCGCGUGCCCUGUCCCCUCCCCGGGCUCCGGCCACACGAGCGGGCCGGCGCUGCGCUGCUGGCAACGUGUCGCGGGAACGCUCCUACCCCAUCUGCAUGCCUUACAUGGCUCGAAAGUAAAAAUAAAAAGAAUUACGAUGCGGGCGAGGCUUGUGGGGGUGAGAAGAGGAGAUUCCACGUCUCCCCAGUGCUGCGUCCUGAUAGGACCCCCAGGGCCUUCCGAGCCCUCUCCCAGCGACCACCUCGUGUCCCGGAGUUGCAGCAAGAGAUGUGAGAAGGUGUCACCCUGAAGAGGAAGUGGUGGACCAGCCCUGCCUGAUGUGGACAGCAGGGGACACAUGUCUGCCUGUCGGUCUAUCUGAAAUGGGGGAAAAAAUGCUGAAAGCCAAAGGAGGGCUUAAUGUGGCCUUUUCCACCUUCUAAUUCCAUAGAACCUCAGCUCUGGGACUUGCUUCCUGACCUAGGGUGCAGGGGCCAAAUUUGUUUGGGAACAACCCCAUUCACAAUUCCCCAUGAACUUUCAGAAAGGACCCUUGCGUCUUAGGUCCUGAGAAGUCACAAAUAAGCAAGCUGCAUUGUC
rnacentral:lncRNA from 1 species